rnacentral:rRNA from 1 species
AGAGUUUGAUUCUGGCUCAGGACGAACGCUGGCGGCGUGCCUAACACAUGCAAGUCGAGCGGGGAAUGAUUGGUAGCUUGCUACUGGUUAUUUCUAGCGGCGGACGGGUGAGUAACGCGUGAGCAACCUGCCUUUAUCAGGGGGAUAACGCAUCGAAAGAUGUGCUAAUACCGCGUAAGACCACAGCUUCACAUGGAGCAGGGGUCAAAGGAGCAAUCCGGAUAAAGAUGGGCUCGCGUCCGAUUAGCUAGUUGGUGAGAUAACAGCCCACCAAGGCGACGAUCGGUAGCCGACCUGAGAGGGUGAUCGGCCACAUUGGAACUGAGAAACGGUCCAG